UUCUUCACUGGCUGGAUGAACUAAAAGGGGGGGAAACAAAAUUCCUCAUCAUUGAAUGCAACUAGAUUGUAUUUUUUUUUCCUACUGGCUGCUCCAUGUGACUUACAAAACUGCAUAGAGUGAUGGAAGAGCAUACAUUCCCAUAGACAAGCUGGAUCGAUAGCUUAUCAAAUGGGUCCUCGGAGAGUACAUUGUGUCUGGGAUUCCGUUAGUCAAAGAAAAAAGCGCGAACAGGUUGAAGCUGUUCAUUUAAAUGCAGAGGUACAUGGUCCAUUGGGGAAUACUGGCAGACUGAAUGACAUGACACUAACGAGCGGCUCCUGAUUCCUGAGUUCAUGUGCAUGGCAGACACAUCAGAGUCUUCCAUCAAAGAGGAUUCUGUGCCAAGCCAACGCCCCAUCCAGUUCCUUCUUAGCAAGAGACAACAAGGCCAACUCCCUGUCCUGUGCAGAGGUUUAGG